GCCAGGCACAGUGGCGCAUGCCUGUAAUCCCAGCGGCUAGGGAGGCUGAGACAGGAGGAUCGCAAGUUCAAAGCCAGCUUCAGCAAGGUGCUAAGCAACACAGUGAGACCCUGUCUCCA
rnacentral:sRNA from 1 species